GCCCUAAUGUCUUCGGUUGGGGCGACCCCGGGGAAUUACAAAACCCCCGAGUGGAAAGAGAGCAUCCCCCCCCCUUUUACUCUUACAACUAAGAGCCUCCGCUCUAAUAAACAUAAUUUCUGACCAAAACCGAUCCGGCAAAGCCGAUCAACGGACCAAGUUACCCUAGGGAUAAUAGCGCAAUCCUCUUUCAGAGUCCCUAUCGACAAGAGGGUUUACGACCUCGAUGUUGGAUC
rnacentral:rRNA from 1 species